UGCUAUUCCUCCCUGAAAGAAAUAAUGAGUAACAGUGACACCUAGUGUUUCAAAUCGCAACAACAUCCUUAGGUUAAGCAUAACAUGUUAUAUUCUAUUUCGGGGCCGCUCCUUUUACUGCCUUCCAUGUUUUCAGGCUGCUGCUCUUUUGUCAAGAUAAAAUAUUAAGUGCUCCACUCUGUUUUGGGCAACCUGGGCAAUCUCAUAAGAUUGGCUCAGGAACCAGGAAAUAGACACGGGCUACAGUGCAGCAAAGUAGUUUUGUACUGUAUCUCUGACUGUGAGAGGACAAAAACUUGACAAAAACUUUGUUGAUGGAGAAGACCGAUUGUUUAUAAGGAAUCUUCCUUCCAUCCUGGUUGACAAAUCACAAUGAUUUAGGUUCGUUUUACAGACAAUGUCUCACUUAUUGCACCCUUAAAGUUAAUCUUAAUAUGGACAUUUCCUUAUUUUGUUUCAUUCAGUGUCAUUAUGGCAGGCACACAUCACAUCCAAAUUGGAAAUAGAUGUCAACAUUUCCAUCAGGAUCCUACAUAACCAUGUGAGCAUCUGUGAAACGUUGACAUUAAGAGGCCAAUCCAAGGUUGACCUCAUAAACUGAGUCACUCAAAUUAACGAUACCAUUGAACAAAUCCAGCAAGCCCCACCAAAUGGCAGAGCACCAAAAAUUCAGGUAAACUCCUGUUGUUCCUCUCCACGGAAAUCUUUAGUAAAAGGCGAAAGAUUUAUACGAUCUGAAGGGAAACAAGAGUGCAUGUCCUACUGCUGACCAAGUGCCCACUGCUUUUGUCAUCACAGCAACCGGGCUAACGGUGCGAUUAGACUGAGGAACUCAUUCAAGUUUCAAAACUGUAAAUGACUUGACUUUGUUUUAAGAAAUACAUUGAACACCUCACACAAAAAUGAGAAAACUUGAAAAAAGUAAAAAAAAAAAAAAAAACAGAAUUGCAAAAUAAAUCAAUGUUGACGCAAUGCAUUGUGGGAGCGGGGCAAAACUGGCCAUUCUUCUAUAUUUGUCGAAGCGCUAUAUUUUCCGUUUCGUGUAAUAUAGUUUACGAAUGGAAACGGUGUGUACUUUUGUAUAAUGUACCAAAGCCAUUCCGUUUGUGUUAGCCUUUGACAGUUAUUAGGAGACGCAAGAGUAAGUGUCUCACUAGGAGGGUCUCCUGCCUGUGCACCGAGCGUUUUUACGGACUAACAAAUAGGGGAGACUAAAAGAUAAUUUCACAUGUUUAGAAUGGAAGAAGAUACUACUUGCACCCCAGAUGGGACUUGAACCCACAAUCCCUGGCUUAGGAGGCCAGUGCCUUAUCCAUUAGGCCACUGGGGCAGGAAGCCAGUAGGAGUCAGUCUUUUCAAGCACAAUACGUCGACACAAAAGUCUGUUUGGGAAAAUGAAUGUGGGGGGGCCCCUUUCACAACCAUUGUUGCCCUGAAAGUCUGCCAGCAAAGCACUGGCUCCAUCUGAAUAAUAGCUCCUUAACAUCUGACGGUAUCAGUAGCGUGGAUUCCACUGUACAAUGGAUAGGUGCUUCAGACUGCUGUGCUGAAUUCAGACAGCAGGGAAAGAUAAAGAAGAGCACAAGUGCAGUGUCAACUCUAGAAGACUAAACAGGUUGCGGAAGAGUUUGUAUAGCAGAGGAUGGUUUCGAUCCAUCGACCUCUGGGUUAUGGGCCCAGCACGCUUCCGCUGCGCCACUCUGCUUGCCUGCCAGUUGUGAAAUGAACCCACGAUCGCUACCUCAGGAGGCCAGUGCCUCAUCUAUGAAGGACGUCUGAAGGUGACAGUCCUGCCAGUCUCUGCCUUUUUGGCGUAGGCUCUGAGAAGCUAUGAUAAUCUUGUCCGAUUGAGUUUUUUUCACGUCAGUUUACCAAUGGGUUUAUGGGAAUAAAAGUGAAUUGUGUGAUACGUUUGUCAUUCGCUGUGUGUCAGAGGAAAGAAUGACCAUGUUCAACAAACUAGGGUGGAAUAUUUGCCUGCUAUCUGAGCUGAGGGCCCAUUUGGGCUCAGGCUCCUCUUAUCACAAAAGGCAAUGGCUCUUGGCUCCACUCACCAACUACUGUUGGAGACGUGAGGGACAUGGACGAUGGUCAUUGAAGACCAGUUGCUAGCUUCCAACCCCCGUGAGUGGGGCCUUUGUCUUGGCCCAUUGUUACUCAUACUUACCUGGCAGGGGAGAUUUCAUGAUCAGGAAGGUGAAUCUCCCAGAGCGAGGCUCAGCCAUUGCACUCUGGCUGUCCUGACCUUUGCGAAUUCCCCAAAUGU